rnacentral:rRNA from 1 species
GACAGAGGAUGCAAGCGUUAUCCGGAAUGAUUGGGCGUAAAGCGUCUGUAGGUGGCCAACUAAGUCAGACGUGAAAUCCCUCGGCUUAACCGGGGAACUGCGUCUGAUACUGGAUGGCUUGAGUUUGGGAGAGGGACGCGGAAUUCCAGGUGUAGCGGUGAAAUGCGUAGAUAUCUGGAGGAACACCGGUGGCGAAGGCGGCGUCCUGGACCAACACUGACACUGAUGAGCGAAAGCUAGGGGAGCAAACGGG